UCUUAUGGAUGACCAAAAUAAGUGGUCUCUUGAGAUGAAAUCUACUCCUGGUAAAGAUGCUAUGAA
rnacentral:pre_miRNA from 1 species